rnacentral:rRNA from 1 species
GACGAACGCUGGCGGCGUGCCUAAUACAUGCAAGUCGAGCGAGCAAUUUUAGCAGAAUACCUUCGGGUAGGAAGCUAAGAGCGCGAGCGGCGGAUGGGUGAGUAACACGUGGGCAACCUACCCUUUAGCUGGGGAUACCACUUGGAAACAAGUGCUAAUACCGAAUAAGAAGCAAGAGCGCAUGCUCAAGCUAUGAAAGGCGGCUUUAAGCUGUCACUAAAGGAUGGGCCCGCGGUGCAUUAGCUAGUUGGUAAGGUAACGGCUUACCAAGGCGAUGAUGCAUAGCCGAGUUGAGAGACUGAACGGCCACAUUGGGACUGAGACACGGCCCAAACUCCUACGGGAGGCAGCAGUAGGGAAUCUUCCACAAUGGACGCAAGUCUGAUGGAGCAACGCCGCGUGAUUGAAGAAGGUUUUCGGAUCGUAAAGCUCUGUUGUUGGUGAAGAAGGAUAAGGAUAGUAACUGAUUCAUAUUUGACGGUAAUCAACCAGAAAGUCACGGCUAACUACGUGCCAGCAGCCGCGGUAA